GUCUUAUUAGCUCAAUAGGCAGAGCAUUCGUUUUGUAAUCGAAAGGUUAUAGGUUCAACUCCUAUAUAAGACA
rfam:Candida albicans SC5314 mitochondrion, complete genome.